rnacentral:rRNA from 1 species
AACGAACGCUGGCGGCAUGCCUAACACAUGCAAGUCGAACGAGACCUUCGGGUCUAGUGGCGCACGGGUGCGUAACGCGUGGGAAUCUGCCCUUGGGUCCGGAAUAACAGUUAGAAAUGACUGCUAAUACCGGAUGAUGACUUCGGUCCAAAGAUUUAUCGCCCAGGGAUGAGCCCGCGUCGGAUUAGCUAGUUGGUGAGGUAAAAGCUCACCAAGGCGACGAUCCGUAGCUGGUCUGAGAGGAUGAUCAGCCACACUGGGACUGAGACACGGCCCAGACUCCUACGGGAGGCAGCAGUGGGGAAUAUUGGACAAUGGGCGAAAGCCUGAUCCAGCAAUGCCGCGUGAGUGAUGAAGGCCUUAGGGUUGUAAAGCUCUUUUACCCGGGAUGAUAAUGACAGUACCGGGAGAAUAAGCCCCGGCUAACUCCGUGCCAGCAGCCGCCGUAACAC